rnacentral:hammerhead_ribozyme from 1 species
AUCCAGCUGACGAGCCCUAAAUAAGACGAAACGCGAGUCCUGGAU